rnacentral:rRNA from 1 species
UACGAGGGGGGCGAGCGUUGUUCGGAAUUAUUGGGCGUAAAGGGCGCGUAGGCGGCGCGGUAAGUCGGGUGUGAAAUCUUGGAGCUUAACUCCGAACGUAGCAUUCGAUACUGCCGUGCUUGAGGACUGGAGAGGAGACUGGAAUUUACGGUGUAGCGGUGAAAUGCGUAGAUAUCGUAAGGAAGACCAGUGGCGAAGGCGGGUCUCUGGACAGUUCCUGACGCUGAGGCACGAAGGCCAGGGGAGCGAACGGG